rnacentral:lncRNA from 1 species
CAUGAAGUUAUGGAUAUUUGAAGUUAUGAAGAAAAAUGAACAUUUAACAAGUGAAAAACAAAAAAAAAUAAUUACACUACCCAAAUUCGAACCCACACCCAGCAACUCAACAAACCAAUGUUUUACCACUAGGGCACAAUGUCAAUUCAUGUAUUUAGUUACAUCAAUUAAAAUAUAUAUUAAAGUUACUUUUAAAAUUUAAAAAAU